rnacentral:rRNA from 1 species
UGAGGAAUAUUGCGCAAUGGGCGAAAGCCUGACGCAGCAACGCCGCGUGCGGGAUGAAGGCUCUUCGAGUUGUAAACCGCUGUAGCAGGGAAAAAAGAUGCCCUUAUUGGGUAGUGAUGGUACCCUGAAAGUAAGCCUCGGCUAACUACGUGCCAGCAGCCGCGGUAAUACGUAGGAGGCAAGCGUUGUCCGGAUUUACUGGGUGUAAAGGGUCCGCAGGCGGGCUCGUAAGUCGGUGGUGAAAUCCUCCAGCUCAACUGGAGAGCUGCCUCCGAUACUGCGGGUCUUGAAUCGAGGAGAGGGGGACGGAAUUCCAGGUGUAGCGGUGAAAUGCUUAGAUAUCUGGAAGAACACCGGUGGCGAAGGCUGUUCCCUGGCCUCCGAUUGACGCUCAUGGACG